UAACAGUUUCAGAGUUUCAGAAAUGAGAAC
rnacentral:piRNA from 1 species